rnacentral:rRNA from 1 species
CGAGUGGCGGACGGGUGAGUAAUGUCUGGGAAACUGCCUGAUGGAGGGGGAUAACUACUGGAAACGGUAGCUAAUACCGCAUAACGUCGCAAGACCAAAGAGGGGGACCUUCGGGCCUCUUGCCAUCGGAUGUGCCCAGAUGGGAUUAGCUUGUUGGUGGGGUAACGGCUCACCAAGGCGACGAUCCCUAGCUGGUCUGAGAGGAUGACCAGCCACACUGGAACUGAGACACGGUCCAGACUCCUACGGGAGGCAGCAGUGGGGAAUAUUGCACAAUGGGCGCAAGCCUGAUGCAGCCAUGCCGCGUGUAUGAAGAAGGCCUUCGGGUUGUAAAGUACUUUCAGCGGGGAGGAAGGGAGUAAAGUUAAUACCUUUGCUCAUUGACGUUACCCGCAGAAGAAGCACCGGCUAACUCCGUGCCAGCAGCCGCGGUAAUACGGAGGGUGCAAGCGUUAAUCGGAAUUACUGGGCGUAAAGCGCACGCAGGCGGUUUGUUAAGUCAGAUGUGAAAUCCC